UACGAAGGGGGCUAGCGUUGCUCGGAAUCACUGGGCGUAAAGGGUGCGUAGGCGGGUCUUUAAGUCAGGGGUGAAAUCCUGGAGCUCAACUCCAGAACUGCCUUUGAUACUGAGGAUCUUGAGUUCGGGAGAGGUGAGUGGAACUGCGAGUGUAGAGGUGAAAUUCGUAGAUAUUAGGAAGAACACCAGUGGCGAAGGCGGCUCUCUGGACCGAGACUGACGCUGAGGCGCGAAAGCGUGGGGAGCAAACAGG
rnacentral:rRNA from 1 species